CUUUUCUGUAAGAACAGAAUUUGCGAAUACGUUUCUCUUGCAAAUGAAUUCAAGAAUCGGGGCCCAGAAGUGAUGCGAGAGAGAAACAGACUUUUUAGUACUUCUUUCUCUAAAGUUACCAGAAUAACUAUCGUGCAUGUCAGCACACAUGCAUACAUAUGUAUAUACAUAUAUAUACACACCAUAAGUUAAAACACGUGACCAAAACGUAUCCAAUCAUUGGAUUUCAAUGUAUAAUAUGUACAAGCAUGCGCGAAACAUAUUUCUGGACUCUUUAGAGAGAGAAAUAUGGACACGGUUUCGCUUGGUAUUGCCAGUCCAUAUCUACAAGGUCUAUGGCUCACUCACUCCUUCAAGAUAACCUCCUUUAACAGUUGCGCUUGGUUGCGCUUUGUCGUCGGCAGCAGUUGGCUGAUAGAAAAUUACAUCAAUUACAUUGUGAUAAAUAAAAAAAAUGAUCCUGCGGUGCUACGUAAAAUAUUGCAAAAAAAAUAGUCAACUUAGGCUGCGAUAUUCACUGCCAGUACUGAAAAUCUAUAGUUUACGUUACAUACACUGUAGAAUUUCAAUACUGGCAGUGAAUACCGGAAUGCAGCUUUAAUAAAGAUGUAUCCUUUUUUCGACAACCGACAAAUUCUGAACUCACGGGGCGCCGGAUUGACAGCGAUACGGUUGGAACAACGGGGAUAGUUCGUAAGAAUUGUUCAGUGGCUGUUUUGGAUCAAGAGGCGGGACUGUCAGCGGGAUUAUAACGGUUCCUGGUUCUUCGGACUAUUUACUAUUGCUAUCGCAACAAAAUUAAAUCGCGGAAAGGUGAAAAGUAUUGAGCGAUACUUACUUUGGUCGAGUUCCGGUUCCGGCUUAAUUAACGAAAAGUCGUCGGAUAUAGUCGCUGGCACAGCUUGCGGUUGACAGAAGCGGCGAAUUAACAGAGGCGAUCACGAUACUUAAGGCCAAGAGUAUAAGUACUGACUGCACGACCGAAAACUGACUUGAAAAUUUUAAAGAGUGACGCUUGAAACGCUUUAAGAUGAAUAAUGACGUGACUGAGAACUAGUGACUGAACGAAUUACUGAACAAGUAUGCUGAACGAUUGCGAGUCUGGCUUCUGUGCGCGGAUUUAAAUAAGGCGCGGACAAAGAGGUUGAGCAAAAUCGGUGCUGCGCUCAACGGCCGCUAGCGCGCCGGAGUAGGGAACACGCGCGAAGCGCAAGAGUCGGUAAGAGUGGGAGUGAUUCGGCGGCUUGGCGGGAACCGAAUUUCGGGGGCCGCUGAUAACACAGACUUCUAUAAUAUACUAGACUGCUAGGCUCGUUAUAUAUUCUCCAUUUAUAGUGUGUACCCGAAAAGUAUGUACAAAUAGGAGUUCAUAGGCGGCAGACUGAAUUACCGAUUGGAAUGUGGCUAAUAUUUUAUAGUCCUACGACUAUGGAUUACUAGAGGAGUGAGUGAGAUGUAUGAUACAAUAUAUACAUAUAUUAUGUGAUAUGAGAGCGUUCUCCUUGGACGCUUAUGCGUACUUAUGCGUUAAACGUAUCAUUCUUUUGCUCUUGUAAUAUAAAAGAAAAAGAUAAAAUGACAAUAACCAAGCAACUAUAUGUGACAUUUAUUGGCAUAUAUAUAUGUACAUAUACAUCCCACUUGACGAACAAUGUACAUACAUAGUAGAUGACACAUUCCGAUCGGUUAUUCAGUCAUGUACAACAUGUACAUUAUAUACUGGUACGCCUAGGGAAUCAAGGUUAGCAGUCUAGUAUAUUAUAGAAGUCUGUGGCUGAUAAGGCGCGUGAGACUAUCUGCACGUGUGCGGAUGUUUAUUAGAGAUAUCUCGUCUAAGAUUUCGUUGAUCAUUUGAUCCGGAAUAUUUUUCGGCUAGGAUCGCUUUCACAAACGAAUAUUCCGCCGUUUUAUCUUGUUUUCUGUGCGCGACAUCUCGUCGCCAACGUGAAAUGGAUAUCUUACGGACUGUUUAUAUGAAAUGCCUAGCUAUGGUUCACCUGAUCUUCCGACACGCAGUCCGGAUAUUACGCGGAUUAAUUUCAUAUUGUAUUUCUUUAGGCGCGACAUCCUCACCGCCGUGUUGAUAGCAAAUUUUGUUUUAGAACUGUUCGGUUCAAGUCUUUGAGGAUUUAGUUGACGAGAUAUCGUUUCUUUAAUCAUCCGACGGUGCACGUGCAGAGGGCCUUUACAAAUAUCCGGUUCUUAUUUAUCUUAAAGUUAAUUAAUUCUCGACAAACCCAUAAGCAAUAUAAGAGUAAGAAUUUAGAAUUUUUAAUGAUCCGAUUGCCUAUGCGUUUGUACCAAUAAGAAAGUUAAAAUAAUGUUAGAUAUAACCUAAAGUAUACGUAUAUGUAAUAUCGAUAUAUGGUUUUGAUAUAUACAUAUAUAUAUAUAUAUAUA